rnacentral:rRNA from 1 species
AGUGAACGCUGGCGGUAGGCCUAUCACAUGCAAGUCGAACGGCAGCACAGUAAGAGCUUGCUCUUACGGGUGGCGAGUGGCGGACGGGUGAUGAAUACAUCGGAAUCUACUUUUUCGUGGGGGAUAACGUAGGGAAACUUACGCUAAUACCGCAUACGACCUACGGGUGAAAGCAGGGGAUCUUCGGACCUUGCGCGAUUGAAUGAGCCGAUGUCGGAUUAGCUAGUUGGCGGGGUAAAGGCCCACCAAGGCGACGAUCCGUAGCUGGUCUGAGAGGAUGAUCAGCCACACUGGAACUGAGACACGGUCCAGACUCCUACGGGAGGCAGCAGUGGGGAAUAUUGGACAAUGGGCGCAAGCCUGAUCCAGCCAUACCGCGUGGGUGAAGAAGGCCUUCGGGUUGUAAAGCCCUUUUGUUGGGAAAGAAAAGCAGCAGGUUAAUACCCCGCUGUUCUGACGGUACCAAAAGAAUAAGCACCGGCUAACUUCGUG